rnacentral:lncRNA from 1 species
CACUUCUCUCCAGCCUCAAGUCACAAGGCCUCCCUAAGGCUUCAGGUGCCCUGCCCCUUGCUCUCUGGAUCUGUCCGAGGAUGUAGGGGUGGGAUGGCACCUGGCGCCAAUGCUGAAAAAACUGCACAAAUUCGAAUCCAGGACUGAGUAAAGCCCACAACAACACUGAGGCAGUCUCAAGGAAAAGAGGAAGAAGAGACUUUCUACGAGUGUCUGUGCCAAGAAACUCGGCUUGCAGAACUGCAAGGGCAGAAUAAGUCAUGUGAAGGGGAGGAGACAUGAAAUGCUAACAUGCAUUGGUUUUGUAAAAGAGACCACUUACUGAGCAUUGACUCUGUGUCAAACUGUGCCAAGCGAUUAAGAGAAUUCAUCUCCUUUCUGUGUUACUCUCUCCUUUUCUCUUUCCCAGUGAAGUAGAGAUUUCACCGUCUCUGUUCCAGAGAGGAAUGUUGAGGAGGUUAUGUAACUUUGCCAACUUGAAUGCUGCUAGCAAACAGAGAGCCAAGACUCAAACUGGCUUCAGCCUGACACACAGCCCACGUUCCUCAAACGACCACCAGGAGCAGCAGCCACAGCUCAGCUCCCAGGGCUCAGCCUGCAGAUGCCACAACUCCUGAGCCCAUGAACCACAACUACCGAAGCCCACACACCCUAGCCCCCCAGCUACACAAAAGAAGCCACCGCAAUGAGAAGCCCUCACACUGCAACUAGAGAGAAGCCUGCUUGCAGCAAGUACUUAACCUCCUGACACCUGUUUCUCCAGUUGAAAAACAGAAUAACAGUGCCUUGGACUGCAAGGAGAUCCAACCAGUUCUUCCUUAAGGUAAUCAGUACUG